AAGAUCCCAAUCUCAGGUGUAGCUGCUGUAGCUGUGGGACCUGUGUGUGCUGACAGCAUCCUUUGCACUUGCCUAAGGCACCAUCUGGCUGCUGUGUGAGGGAAGAACACUGCUUGGUUCGCUGCUUUUGUGCUUAUGAUUCUUUGAGUUUUCUUUAUACUCAUAAAAACGCUUCCUCAUUCCAUCUCAAACACUGGAGUCAUUCUCCGUUUUUUCUGAGAAAACAGUAAGGGUUUUCAUUAAGAAAUAAGUCAUAAGACUGCAGGAAAACAAAUAAAACUCUUAAUCAGCUGCUCUCUCAGCAGCCUGGGGAUUGCAUGUGACAACACUCACUGGCUUCCCCACGCCGCAGACCCCCUUGCUUGGUAAACACGUUAUAACCAGGGAGGCAUCAUUAACCUACAAGCAACCGGUUCCCAAGUAGAAGAAUCCAAUUUUUCUUUUUUUAAUGAGAGAAGGGUCUGCCCACUUGAGGAAAUGGAAUUUUAUUCAGAGUUAGUUUUGCAGAAUCAAUUGGGUGUUGCUGUGCAUUAUUCACACCAUCUUCCCUGUUCUUCAGAGAACUCGAAGUCAUUAACCCGCAGACUAUAUGCAAUGAAAGCUGUUAUGGUGGUCAACAUACUUAGGGUUUAAUGGAGUAAGUCAAUUUCAGGGCUUUCUCUCCCCAAAUAUUGUAGGAUAGUGUGAUGUGUUAUACAAGCUUCCUGUCAAUGUCAUCACCAAAGAAUGACCCAUGCACGUGGGGCUUUAGAGCAGCAUGUAGUUAGGAAAGUAAAUUCUUAUAUUCCCACUCUGACCCAGAACACUUCACCCAGCUCCUCCUGUGUCCCCCACAAUGAAGGGCAGUGCUGACAUUAUGUUUUGUUUUGAAGGAACACCGCUGCUUAUCUUGGAAGCACAGUGGAUGGAUCCAAGUGUGGGGCCAGGAUGUCUCUUCAUGCUGCCUCAGAAGUUUUGGAUUCUCUCUCUGAUUAGGCUUGUGAGAAUCUCAUGAGCAGAUGCCACAUCUAGUCAACCCAUUUAUGUUUGGUGACAGGAUAGGAGCUCAGGUUAUAUACGACCAUGAGAAUCAUGUCUGUUGGGGCUUCAAAAACUAAAUCAACCCAAAUAUAUAACAAAAGAAGCAUGAGAGAAGUGUGAAAAUCAAGAAUGGAGUUUUCAUUUUCUGAAUUCAAGAUUCCUCUAUUUUCAGAAGAUCAAAUGAGGAACUGUCACCUUGCAGGGAACAGCUGUUUUCUGUGGCAGAUGGGAAGAAGGGAUGUGGCCAAUGACAAUUAUCCCUUAAAGCUGCCCCGGAAUUGACACGUCUCUUUGCUCCUACCUCUUUGAAUGAACUAGUCUCAUGCCCAUGCUGACUCCAAGGGGCCAAGAGAUGCAAUCCAACCAUCUGACUGGGACGAACCAGGAAUGGUUUCUACAAGAAGAGGUGAUCAACUGAGAAAGAGAAUCAAUUAUGGCGUCUCUCUCUAGUGAUGGAGACCCGACGUAGAGAACGGAAUGGUGUUGGUGUGGAGGCAGAAAGGCGUCUUCUGAAGUGCAGUUGGGGCUGAAAUGGUUACCUGUCCACCGUGACUCUUCCAUGUCUGUCCAUGCUCCUCAUCUGUUGGGUUGAGUCACUGUGGAGAAAUGGCUAAGGCACUAGCAUCUAUGUGAGCCAGACUCUCACCUCUAACCUGGGCAUCGAGAUGGGACCAUGGGAAUGAAGGCUUGCCAACGAAGUGCACAUCGAAUUCUCACAUUUCUCUUCUG